CCAGCGGGCCCUUGGCCGCUGGGGGGAGGGACACCCUUUGGCAGCCGCCACCGCCCCCCCCCUUCUCACCAGAAGAACGCCACCAACACCCGUCAUGCGCCCAAGGGCCGGCGCGGAGCCUGCCGCAAGCAGCCCAAAGAGCGUUUCAGUUAAACCUUUACUCCUACUCUGAAGGGCAGUGAUGGAAAAAGACCAAAACAAACGCAUUUCGGCCGAAGGACGAAAGCGCAGCACCGCACUCCCCACCCAGCUGGAAGCAUACGGUGGCCUCAGUUCUUC
rnacentral:misc_RNA from 1 species